UACGGAGGGUGCAAGCGUUAUCCGGAUUCACUGGGUUUAAAGGGUGCGUAGGUGGAUUGGUAAGUCCGUGGUGAAAUCCCCGAGCUUAACUUGGGAACUGCCAUGGAUACUAUUAAUCUUGAAUGUCGUGGAGAUGGGCGGAAUAUGUCAUGUAGCGGUGAAAUGCUUAGAUAUGACAUAGAACACCAAUUGCGAAGGCAGCUCGUUACGCGAAUAUUGACACUGAUGCACGAAAGCGUGGGGAUCAAACAGG
rnacentral:rRNA from 1 species